CGAAUUGCGCAGUGGCAAUAUCGUAACCAAUGAAGAAGGCCUCUCAGGUGCGAUUAUUGCUAGUUGAAAGCUGAACUAUAAUAUUUCAUUUGGAUACGACUUUGGGACCAAAACUUUUAUUCAAAGUUCAAAAUU
rnacentral:snRNA from 1 species